GUUUUAUUAGUCUAAGAUUCAGACAGUUUCUUUGACAUACAGCUUUAAAAAAAUUCAAAAUCCUUGAGUAUGUAAAUAGUUACUCCAAUAUACUAUAGCAUGUAAGCUUUUCCUCAGAAGAAGCAAAAUAUCUUGUUUUCUGUUAAGGACAAUCUUCUUGUAGUGAGAAUGUUUUUCUUGAUACAGUUGUUUCUGGGAUCAAUGAAACAAGGAGCUUUUAUUUGCUGUCAUCCAAAAUGCCCACAAGACAUUUCUCCAUUAGAACUUCAGCAUUAACCCAAGCAUGGUAUUUGUUAAACAAUGCCGUGCAAUCUUUUCCUACGGCCUUCAUCAGCAUGUCUACCCCUCCUGGGUGAAACUUCAUGUAUGGUGUUAUAUUGUAGACAUGCCCUUUAAGAACAGUCCACAUUGCUUCUGCAUUUUGGUGUUCCUUAACUUCAUCCAUUGAUAUAAGUCUCCUGUUGGACUGUCCAUUUAAUCCUGCAAGGUCAGGAUGUGUUCUUGUAAGCUUUAGCCAGUCCAUCUGACUAUAACCCUUCUCAUAGGGGACCUUGGCUCGAACUACAGGCUUCCUAGCAGGUUUUAUUUCCUUCUGAUAAGUUGGGACUGAAAAUCCACCAUCUUUUAAUGCCACUUGACCAGAAGUUCUACUUGCUUGCUUGCCUGGAGAUGUGUCUAUAACAGUGAAAGACAAAGAACCAACUGUUCCCUGCUUCUUUGAGGUAGUAAUAUUGCCCAAUUUACCUUCCCAUGGUGCACCAUUACUUUGACUAGUACCAUCAUUAUUUGAGGGCUCAUCUUUUAUUCUAAUUUCACUAAUAUCAUGAGCAAUCUUCUGUGUAUCCACAUAAUCUUGAUUAUCAGGUGCUCCAACCUGACAAAAAGUGAAAUCAUCAUCAUUAGCCAUUACUAGCUCAACUGAGCAAUGACACGAACAAAAAGGUCCUCGCCGAGAAAUCUGAUCUUGAGGGGUUGUUUUUCCCUCUAAUUCGCAAUGUUCGUUCAAAGCUGAUGGGCGGACUACCUACGCUACGAUACAUUCUUGAAUUUCUUCUGAUUCCUCUGCAUUUAGAGUGGU
rnacentral:misc_RNA from 1 species